GGUCCUACGGGGCGCAGCAGUAGGGAAUUUUCGUCAAUGGGCGCAAGCCUGUACGAGCAAUGCCGCGUGAACGAGGAAGGUCUUCGGAUCGUAAAGUUCUGUUGAAGGGGAAAAAGAGCGGAGAGAGGAAAUGGUCUCCGAUUGAUAUUACCCUUCGAGGAAGUCACGGCUAACUACGUGCCAGCAGCCGCGGUAAUACGUAGGGAGCAAGCGUUAUCCGGAAUUAUUGGGUGUAAAGGGUGCGUAGACGGGAGUCUAAGUUAGUUGUGAAAUCCCUCGGCUCAACUGAGGAACUGCAACUAAAA
rnacentral:rRNA from 1 species